UAAAAAACGAUGAAAAGAAGAGUACUAUUUUUAGAGAAUUCAUUUAGAGAGUCUCGUUAGCUGAAAAGAGAUAAUUUGAGAAAAUAGGAAGAUGGUCUUUUAGUUAGUAUUGGUGAACUUACUUAGCUAAUACUGGGAGCGCCCAUUACAGCGUCAGGUAUUUUAUCUUUUUUAUCAGUACCUACUAAGUAAAAUCUUGUGAAAGAUUUUAAAAUAAAGGUGGUAACACGCGAAGUCGUCCUUUAC
rnacentral:ncRNA from 1 species